rnacentral:lncRNA from 1 species
CCAAAUCCCAUCAUCACUCUCUUUCACGCACAGCGUCACCCCUUCCCCGUUCACGCGACUGCUUCUCCUAGUACGACGGACGAUUUCUCUCUUCUCUCGUUUUUUUCCGACGCGGUUUAAAUCCGGCGAGGUCACCACUGUCACUCCGCUCGUUUUCCAGUUCGGGUGAGGUUUCUGUUUUCGCCCUUUUUAUGUGUUUCUAUUGUCUUUUUGCCUUUCUAUUGCUUUCGCCCUUUCCCCUGUUUUUGCGUUUCUUAAAGUUACUUUCUUUUUAAGAUUUUAUAAUAGAAAUCUGCAUAUUUGCAUACAUAUCUAAUUUUUUUAUAACGUAUCGUAUCCUUAAUUUCUAAAAAUUUGCCUUACCGUAUCCGUGUCUUAUCUAGGCUUCAUAGAGCCCCAGCAUCGACUUCAAAUGCUUCUCAAAAUGAGGUUAAAAUGAUCCAGCUUGGGGACAUUGUAAACAAAUUGAUGAAGGUGGUUCAAAAGUCACUAUGAUGUGUGUGCGUGUGUGUAUAUAUAAUUGUUAAUUUUUUAAUACAUACCGGGUCAAACUGAG